rnacentral:rRNA from 1 species
AUUGAACGCUGGCGGCAGGCCUAACACAUGCAAGUCGAACGAGUGGCGGACGGGUGAGUAAUGUCUGGGAAACUGCCUGAUGGAGGGGGAUAACUACUGGAAACGGUAGCUAAUACCGCAUACCAUCGGAUGUGCCCAGCGGGGAUUAGCUAGUAGGGGGGGUAAAGGCUCACUUAGGCGACGAUCCCUAGCUGGUCUGAAGGGAUGACCAGCCACACUGCAACUGAGACACGGUCCAGAUGCGUACGGGAGGCAGCAGUGGGGAAUAUUGCACAAUGGGCGCUAGCCUGAUGCAGCCAUGCCGCGUGGAUGAAGAAGGCCUUCGGGUUGUAAAGUACUUUCAGCGGUGAGGCGUUACCCGCAGAAGAAGCACCGGCUAACUCCGUGCCAGCAGCCGCGGUAAUUC